rnacentral:rRNA from 1 species
AUAAAAAGGAGCAAAAAGCUCGUAGUUGGAUUUCGGGCGCAGCCGGCGGUCCGCCGUUUCACGGUGUGCACUGCCGCGCGGCGUCUUUUCGAUGAGGACGCGUCCCGGUCCUUCACUGGGCUGGGCGCGGAGUCAUCACAGUUACUUUGAAAAAAUUAGAGUGUUCAAAGCGGGCUUACGCUUGAAUAUAUUAGCAUGGAAUAACACGGUAGGACUCCCAUCCUAUUUUGUUGGUCUUCGGGACGGGAGUAAUGAUUAAGAGGAACAGUUGGGGGCAUUCGUAUUUCAAUGUCAGAGGUGAAAUUCUUGGAUUUUUGAAAGACGAACUUCUGCGAAAGCAUUUG